AGAGGGCGCAUGAGGAAUGUGAAAUUACGAAGUGUGAUCACUGCAAUAACGUGAGGCAGCUAUGCACUACUGGGAACUUGUAGAACACAUCUGGUGAACCAAUGACAAGAGGCAUUUGUGUGCAGCCACCAAUCAGCGGCUAGUUUCCAGUAAUCUGAAAUGCAGAAGAACAAAGACGGGCGCCUCCUAGUGCAGACAGCUGACAAAUGCCCCUCCCUUUCAAGAGUAAGAAGGAGAUGUAUACUCACAAAAAUAUCAGCACAGAAUGUGCUGAAAACUACAUGCUGACAUCUCUGUGUCUCAGCUAAUUGAACUCUGGUCUCUGUUCCACCACAAAGGUUUACCAAAGUUUCCGUCUGGGUCAGAUGAAGGCUCCAGAUGUAUUGUAAGCCAAUUAGUUUAAUUAAAACAUUAAAAACAUAUGUACACAAUUA